rnacentral:rRNA from 1 species
CUCUUUUUGAUAAUAAUUUAAAGUUGGGCCUGCCCACUGAAUUUUGAAGGGCCGCAGUAUUUUGACUGUGCAAAGGUAGCAUAAUCAUUAGUUUUUUAAUUGAAAGCUUGUAUGAAUGGUUUGAUGAGAAAAUUUCUGUCUCAAUUUUAAUAUAUAGAAUUUUAUUUUUAAGUUAAAAAGCUUAAAUAAACUUUAAAGACGAGAAGACCCUAUAGAGUUUAACUAAAAAUAAUUUUUGAAAUUUAAGAAUUAAUUUUUUUAAAGAUUAUUUAAGUUUUGUUGGGGUGACAGAAAAAUUAAAUAAACUUUUUUUUUAUAAAAACAUUAAUUUAUGAAUACUUGAUCCAUUAUUANGAUUACAAGAUUAAAUUACCUUAGGGAUAACAGCGUNAUCUUUUUUGAAAGUUCUUAUUGAAAAAGGGGGUUGCGACCUCGAUGUUGGAUUAAAAUUAAUUUUUGGUGCAGAAGCUAAAAAAUUGGGUCUGUUCGACCUUUAAAAUUUUACAUGAUCUGAGUUUAAACCGGUGUGAGCCAGGUUGGUUUCUAUCUUAAAUAAAAGAAAAUAUUUUAGUACGAAAGGAUUAAAUAUUUAAUUAAAAAUUUAAUUUAUGAAUAAAAUUUUUAUUUUGGCAGAAUAGUGCGAAGGAUUUAGAAUCUUUUUAUGUAAGAAUUUACAAAUAAAAAUUGAUUUAAUUUUAAUUUUUAUAAAUUUGUUGAUUUUAAUUGUGGGAAUUUUAGUAGGAGUUGCAUUUUUAACUCUUUUAGAGCGUAAAUUAUU